GGGGAUGGAACAGGAAGGGAGAGAGAAAGUGGUGGUGUGAGGUGAGGUGGAAAGGGAUAGCGGGGUGUAGCUUCCAUGUGUUACCCUUAUUGGCCACCAGGAGAGAUUGCUAGAAUAGGUAGUCUCUCUCUCUCUCUCUCUCUCUCUCUCUCUCACACACACACACACACGUCUUGGAUUUAUGUUCCGUGGCGAAUCUGGCAAUGUAACGGUUCAGUGUAAGACUCGAGUCAGCGCGGGUUAGUGUCACGUGAAAAUAAAGGCCAUUGAAUAUAAGUACGUCCCCUGGAGACCUUAUAAUUACAUCUGAUCCUUGAUUCAUUUAUUCUCCUGCACACUAAAGAAUGCUAUAGAUAUUUCCCGCACUGUGAGACCGUGGACAUUUGGCUCAGCUGCGUGAAGAAUACUCGAAACAAUGAACCUCCGAACUGAGAUACUGAAUCUGUAACUCUCGGCCGCCUUAGUCCUGCUCGCCUCGCCACUGCCGCGUGGUUACGUCAAGACAGCGGGCCGCGUACUAGUUUCCUUAGUACUUGUGCUUCCGUGUCAAUACCGUGUGCUGUAAACUUCUGAACGAACUGAGAUACUCAUUCAGUUUUGGUCGCCUCUCCAUUAUCUCGUGGUGACGUAAAGGUGACGACCCGUGUGUUAGUUUCCCCGGUAAUUGUGCCUCCGUAACAUUACUGUGUGCAGUGGUCAUGAGAACUGCGAGGCGGCGGUGUAGACUGUGCCGUGGAGAGCUGCGGGGUGUUGGAAUCGCCUGUCAGUCACCUUGAAGGCGUCAUAUUCCCUCCCUGCUCUUCCCCGUGUCUUCUUGUCGAUGUUGACAGGACCUGCGGGAGGGUGAAGAGCGCAAGGAGUUGACUGAUCCCAGCAUGUGGACGUGCCUGAAGCCUGACCCGAGCGGGGCGCGUCUCACUCUUGACCCAGCGCAAGGCUCCGACACCGCCACCUACAAGUGCCGGGUGGACUUUGAAAUGUCGUCCACCCGCUCCACCCUCGUCACCCUCACUGUGUACGCCUGUGCGUUGAGCGGCAGGAGGCGGCGAGGCGUGACAUAGCGACGCCUGAUGACCCGUGGCACGAAUGGCAACGUGGUGAAUGGCAGUGGCAGUAGGGGCAUGGGAGGGGGCGAGGGGCCUGGGAGGUGAUUUGCUCCUCCGCUCAUCGCCAAGUUAUCGGAAACGUGUGCCGGAGACGUAUGGCUUUAAGAUACUCCAGCUAGAGAUGCGAUAUGAAGCAGAAUAUAUUGCCCCGCCAGCCGGCCAGGAUGUCAAUAGAUGCGCCGCCAAACCCUCAAGAUUCCUCACUAAUAUUAUGUGAAGACGCUGGCCAGCUGAGGCGUGGGAGAGUGUGAGGCAGAGGGAGGGUCUCUGCCACCGCCCACCACAGACCUCAUUUCAUCUUCCACACCAAGACAGUUUGUUUAUUCAUAUGUCUGGCUGUGAUCACUACCGGGAUUUGUAAUAGAUGGCAUCUGGAGCUUCCACAUCUUCCUCCCUUACUUUUAGUGGGUGCAAGUGUAGCAAACUCGCGCAAUUGUGUCCUUGACUUGCUUCUGCUUGGGAGGAAGAUAUGAAGGGAAACUUUGUGCACGAACGUAUUCCAAUCUUGCUUCUUUUAUCCUUGCUGUGUUCUAGGAGUGCGUACGUUGCAAAUAUAAAUAGGUGACACACAACAAACAUUCCUGAGGCCCCAAACUAAUCAAUGCAUAAUAUAGUACUGUAUAUGAUAUUUUUAUUUAUUUUUUUUAUAAAAUAUACUAGUAGAUGAAGUUAACGCAUCCCUGUUUGUCAGAAGGCACCGAUGGUCAGCUGUGUGGCCGAGGCGUUCUUGAUUUACGCAGCACAAUGCUACAUAAUUUAAGUGCUGUCUCUCUCUUAGGCGAAAUCGCUCAUAACAAGUAAAAUAAAAAUAAAAGUUUUGGUCGCCUUAACUUAAUUUUUACUUUUCUUUCCUGAAAUGAGGAUAAGGAAAGAUACUCGAGUUGCUUGAACACUCUUAAGACCGUGCCAGCAUUUGAAGACACUUUAAUGUCUCCCCUGAGCAGCGUUUCUCUAAAAAGAAAAUAAUACAUUUUUCCGCUGCGUUAAUCUCUCCUCUUUUGGACCCGGGCGGUGCAGGUGAAGAGCGAGGCCGGAAUAAAGGCAGAAUAGACCUGGAAUACUUACUGUUGCCGCGAGAGGUAAUUUUUGACUCAGUUUCCCCACCACUUUAAUGCCUCGACUCCAGGGUGAUUUUAAUGGUUUUCGUUUUGUUUCGCUACAUUGCUUUGUACUCUUUUAUCUUUCAUCCGCCACAUUUGUUAGGUUAAUGAUUGUUGGGGAUUCC